GAAUAUUAUAUUAAAGCUAACGGCGGAUGCCUUGGCAAUGUAUGCCGAAGAAAGACGUGUGUAUGAGCACGAUAUCAUCGAUGAGCCCUCAGACAGGCAUUAUCAAUCGGUGGUUUCUGAAUGGGACAACCCCGGUCGUAGCAAUACGACUGACCUUUCUAAUUUAUUAGAUAGGAGGGAACCCGGUGAACUGAAACAUCUUAGUAACCGGAGGAAAAGAAAUCAAUAGAGAUUCUGUGAGUAGCGGCGAGCGAAAGCGGAGGAGCCUAAACCCAAAUUAAGUAUUGGGUGUUGCGGGACAGACGAUAUGGGAUCAUAAGUUGUUAGAUAAACGUUCUGGAAAGGACGGCCAUAGAAGGUGAUAGCCCUGUAGUUGAAAAUAACUUGUGCCUUAGUCUGAUUCCCAAGUACCACGAGGCACGGCAAACCUUGUGGGAAACUGGGGCGGUCAUGCUCCAAGGCUAAAUACAUACAUUGACCGAUAGUGGACAAGUACCGCGAGGGAAAGGUGAAAAGUCCCCCGGUGAGGGGAGUGAAAUAGUACCUGAAACCGUUAGCUAACAAGCAGACAGGGCUUCAACGCAAGUUGGGGUGAUGUCGUGCCUAUUGAAGAAUGAGCCAGCGAGUUUUUGGCGGCUGCAAGGUUAACCAAUGUGAGUUGGGAAGCCGCAGCGAAAGCGAGUCUGAAUAGGGCGAUUCAGUAGCUGUCAAAAGACCCGAAACUAAGUGAGCUAACCAUGAACAGGGUGAACCUUGUCGAAAGACAGGGGGAGGCCCGUACUCGUAGUCGGUGAAAUGACUUGGGAUGAUUUGUGGUUAGUGGUAAUAUGCCUAUCGAACUUAGAGAUAGCUGGUUCUCCCCGAGAUAUAUUUAGGUAUAGCCUUUUCGAGUAAGGUGAGGGGUAGAGCACUGGAUAGUCUCAGGAGCCUUUGGUAACUGAGAUUAACCAAACUCCGAAUACUCACUGUUAAAAUCGAAAGGAGUCAGACUUGCUCGGAUAAGCGAGUAUGGUCGAAAGGGAAACAGCCCAGACUCCCAGCUAAGGUCUCCAAAUUAUUGUUAAGUGGUAAAGGUUGUGAGAUUUCAAAGACAGACGGGAAGUUGGCUUAGAAGCAGCCACCUUUUAAAGAAAGCGUAACAGCUCACCGUAAUAUACUCCGAUUCGUCGGAGUAUGAGAUCUUGCGCCGAAAAUGAUCGAGGCUCAAACAAUAUACCGAAGCUGGAGGUGGUUUCAAUAUUUAUAUUGAGGUCGCGGUAGGGGAGCUUUCUAUUUGCACUGAAGCAGUUACUGUAAGGUGCUGUGGAGCGGAUAGAAGUGAGAAUGCUGGCAUGAGUAGCGUAUACUCCAGAUGAAAAUUCUGGAUGCCGAAAAUCCAAGGUUUCCUCAGCAACGUACAUCGGCUGAGGGUUAGUCGGAUCUAAGGGUCCUGCCGAAAGGCGGAUCUCGAUGUACAAGGCGUUAAUAUUCGUCUACCAAGUAUAGUGCGUUAUUACCACAAGGGUGACGAAGUAUGAUAAACAGUGCCUCCUAUAUGGGGGUUUAAGCAGUAACGCAAGGAGCUGUGAAUACAACUCUGACGCAAGUCGGGGAAGAUUGUCGAUUUAUGCUUCCGGGAAAAGCCGUUGUGGGAGUCCUAUAUUUGUCCGUACCGCAAACCGACACAGGUGGAUUGGUCGAGUAGACUAAGGCAAUCGAGUAAGGGUGGUUCAAGGAACUCGGCAAACAAGCUGGAUGUAACUUAGGGAUAUGUCCUCCCUGUAUCGAGAGAUAUAGGGCGCAGCAAAUGACUUUCAACUGACUGUUUAGCAAAAACACAGCUCCCUGCAAACCGGAAACGGGAAGUAUAGGGGGUGAGGCCUGUCCAGUGCCGGUAAGUUAAGAAUUGGGGUUGAGUCCGAUUUAUUUCGGACAAGGCUCUGAUUUAAGCUCCGGUGAACGACAGCGGUAACUCUGACCGUUCUAAGGUAGCGUAGCCCCUUGUCGGGUAAGUUCCGACCUGCAUGAAUGGCUUAACAAGUUGAAAACUGUCUUGAACUACUGCUCGGCGAAAUUGAAAUGGCUGUGAAGAUGCGGCCUUCCUGCACCUGGACAAGAAGACCCCGGGAGCUUUACUGAAAUUUAUUAUUGAUAAGAGGCUUUUAACUGUUUAGCGUAGGAGGGAGACUUCGGUCGCCAAUGAAACACCUCUCUUUAAAAGCUUUUAGUCUGACCUCGCUUUGCGGGGGACAGUAGUAGAUGGUCAGUUUAACUGGGGCGGUUUCCUCCAAAAUAGUAACGGAGGAGCGCAAAGGUCGGCUUAUUCCGGAUGGAAAUCGGAAUGUAUGUGUAAACGCAAAAGCCGGCUUAACUGUGAGGGAUACAUCCCGAUCAGGUACGAAAGUAGGCGUUAGUGAUCCCCCGAUCGGCUAUGAUUGCCGGCGGGGCUUAACGGAUAAAAGCUACCCCGGGGAUAACAGGCUUGUCUCCCCUGAGAGUUCAUAUCGACGGGGAGGUUCGGCACCUCGAUGUCGGCUCACCGUAUCCUGGGGCCGUAGCAGGUCCCAAGGGUUGGUCUGUUCGCCCAUUAAAACGGUACGCGAGCUGGGUUCAGAGCGUCGUGAGACAGCUCGGACUCUAUCCGGUGCAGGCGAUUGGAAUUUUGAGAGGGCUCUUCUCUAGUACGAGAGGACCGAGAAGAGGGAAUCCCUGGUGUACCAGUUGUCCUAAAAGGGCAGCGCUGGGUAGCUAUAUUCCUAUGAGAUAAAUACUGAAAGCAUCUCAAGUAUGAAGCUUACCUCAAGAUUAGAAUUCCUUAUUAGUCCCCCAGGAGAUUACUGGGUUGAUAGGCGCACGGUGUAAGAGCAGCAAUGUUUUUAGCCCAUGCGUACUAAUGGACGACUAUAAUAUUCCG
rnacentral:rRNA from 1 species